GAUGAACGCUGGCGGCGUGCCUAACACAUGCAAGUCGAACGAACAGACGCGGAGCUUGCUCCUCUGACGUUAGCCGCGGACGUGUGAGUCACACGUGUAUACCCUCCUUAUCAGUCUGGGAUCACUUCGGGACACCGGCGCUAAUACCGGAUAAUAUAUUGAUCCGCAUGGUUCAAUGGUGAAAGACGGCUUUGCUGUCACUUAUAGAUGGAUCCGGGCCGUAGUAGCUAGUUGGUAAGGUAACGGCUUAUCAAGGCAACGAUGCGUAGCCGAGCGGAGAGGGUGGUAGGCGACACUGGAACUGAGCCAGGGUCAAGACGCCUAAGAGAGGCAGCAGUAGGGAAUGGGAGGCAAUGGGCGAAAGCCUGACAGAGCAACGCCGCGUGAGUGAUGAAGGUCUUCGGAUCGUAAAAAUCGGUUAUGAGGGAAGAACAGAUGUGUAAGGAAAUAUGCACGGCUUGACGGUACCGGAUCAGAAAGCCACGGCUAACUACGUG
rnacentral:rRNA from 1 species